rnacentral:rRNA from 1 species
CUCGAAAGCCUGUCUCAGUUCGGAUCGGAGUCUGCAACCCGACUCCGUGAAGCUGGAUUCGCUAGUAAUCGCGCAUCAGCCAUGGCGCGGUGAAUACGUUCCCGGGCCUUGUACACACCGCCCGUCAAGCCAUGGAAGCCGGGAGUGCCUGAAGUAUGCAACCGCAAGGAGCGUCCUAAGGUAAAACCGGUGACUGGGGCUAAGUCGUAACAAGGUAAC